rnacentral:rRNA from 1 species
CCUACGGGUGGCAGCAGUGGGGAAUAUUGCACAAUGGGGGAAACCCUGAUGCAGCAACGCCGCGUGAGUGAAGAAGUAUUUCGGUAUGUAAAGCUCUAUCAGCAGGGAAGAAGAUGACGGUACCUGAGUAAGAAGCCCCGGCUAACUACGUGCCAGCAGCCGCGGUAAUACGUAGGGGGCAAGCGUUAUCCGGAUUUACUGGGUGUAAAGGGAGCGUAGACGGCCAUGCAAGUCUGAUGUGAAAACCCGGGGCUCAACCCCGGGACUGCAUUGGAAACUGUGCGGCUGGAGUGUCGGAGAGGCAAGUGGAAUUCCUAGUGUAGCGGUGAAAUGCGUAGAUAUUAGGAGGAACACCAGUGGCGAAGGCGGCUUGCUGGACGACGACUGACGUUGAGGCUCGAAAGCGUGGGGAGCAAACAGGAUUAGAUACCCCAGUAGUC